rnacentral:rRNA from 1 species
GAGUUUGAUCAUGGCUCAGAACGAACGCUGGCGGCGCGCCUAACACAUGCAAGUCGAACGCGAAAGAGGGGCAACCCUUGAGUAAAGUGGCGCACGGGUGAGUAACGCGUAGGUGAUUUACCUUUGCGACCGGGAUAACCAGCCGAAAGGUUGGCUAAUACUGGAUAGAGCGCAUGGUCUGUAAGGGGCUGUGCGGGAAAAGCAGGCCAUAGCAAUAUGGCUUGUGCGCUGGGAUGAGCCUGCGUCUCAUUAGCUAGUUGGUGGGGUAAAAGCUCACCAAGGCAUUGAUGGGUAGCUGGUCUGAGAGGACGAUCAGCCACACUGGAACUGAAACACGGUCCAGACUCCUACGGGAGGCAGCAGUGGGGAAUCUUGCGCAAAUGGACGAAAGUCUGACGCAGCGACGCCGUGUGGGUGAAGAAGGCC